rnacentral:rRNA from 1 species
GAUGAACGCUGGCGGCGUGCCUAAUACAUGCAAGUCGAGCGAACGGACGAGAAGCUUGCUUCUCUGAUGUUAGCGGCGGACGGGUGAGUAACACGUGGAUAACCUACCUAUAAGACUGGGAUAACUUCGGGAAACCGGAGCUAAUACCGGAUAAUAUUUUGAACCGCAUGGUUCAAAAGUGAAAGACGGUCUUGCUGUCACUUAUAGAUGGAUCCGCGCUGCAUUAGCUAGUUGGUAAGGUAACGGCUUACCAAGGCAACGAUGCAUAGCCGACCUGAGAGGGGGUGCGGCACCACAGGAAAAGAGAAACGGGCCAGAGACCCACGGGGGGCACAAGAGGGGGAAAUUUCCCAAGGGGGGAAAACCGGAGGGGGAAAAACGCGGGGGGGGAGAAGGGUCUCGGGAUCGUAAAAAUCUCUUAUAGGGGAAAAAAAAAUGUGUAAGAAAAAGUGAACACAUUGAGGGGGCACAUAAGAAAAACACCGCGGAAAAAGAU